AUGAAGGCUCACUGGGUGUCCCCACUGGGGACUCGGGCAGAGGAGAGGAUGCAGGAGAGCGCCAAUUCUCCCAGACUGCUCACUUUGAAGAACAGCAAACGGAGCUGUCCAACCAGCUCUGACUCUGUCUUUAACACUGGUGGGAGUUCCCCAAACCUACUGGUGGCAGACACUCCAGCCGGAGAAGCCGGGCCCCAGGCCCCUUGGCCCUCUCUGUCCACCUCUGCUGCUGAUGGAGUAACCAUCCUGUGGCUUUGGGUUGCAGCCUUUUGUACUCUGCCCCACCCUAUCCAGGGUAUUUCACAAGAGUGCCCACAAUCGACCCCCAGCGGCCUGCUCAGCCCUCUCUGGCCACUGACUACUCUCUGGCUCCCUGCUCAGGGUCCGCACCCACAGGGCAAGGAACAAAAACCAGAGGCCACCCUCCCACCCACUUGGUCAUCUUUUCCGCAGCCCUGCCAAGGACAUUUUUACCCACCUAGUCCUGGGAUUCCUGGCUCAGCUGGACCCCCUCUGCCCCCCCCCACUCCCUCCAUGACCUUCCAGGUUAGAUGCAGGGAGGUAAAUGGAGGCCUAACAAGCACUGUGGUGCCCUCCUGGAGAAGCUACAAGCACUCAGGCAAUUUGGGGCUGCGGGGUCUUCUCAGCCCUAUCAGGUCACUAAAGUAUGGCUGGCGAGGUGGAGGCAAACACUCACUCAGGGUAGAGACCCCUCCUCACCCAGCCCUGCAUCAGGAUGCGAGGCUGCAGGCAAGGGGGCCAGAGACGCCUCCCCACAGCCAUGCCCCGAGGCUCCGGCCCCAAUGUUCUUCCAGAGCAGAGGAUGGGGCAGAGGAGCUGGAGGCCAGAAGGUCCUCAGGGCCCCACGCCUACCCUGGGAGUCAAGUCCUCAAGGCAGAGCUGGAGGAGCUCCCCCAACCUCAGGUCCAGGUCCAGCGUCACUGCACUGGUCCUGCCACUGUCAGUCCAAAGGAAAAGCCCUGGCACCAGCUUUUCCCACCCGCCAUCCUCCCUCCACCCUACGAAUGCUGA
rnacentral:lncRNA from 1 species